UUGGCCCUGAGGCUUACAUUCUACUGGA
rnacentral:piRNA from 1 species